UCCCUGGAGGACUAGUGGUAAGGCCACAGCACUCUCACCACUGUGGCCUGGGUUUGAUUCCCAGCCAGGGAA
rnacentral:tRNA from 1 species